rnacentral:tRNA from 1 species
GCGGAUGUAGCUCAGUUGGUAGAGCGUUACCUUCCCAAGGUAAAAGUCGCGAGUUCGAAUCUCGUCUUCCGCU